rnacentral:rRNA from 1 species
GAUGAACGCUGGCGGCGUGCUUAACACAUGCAAGUCGAACGAAGUUUUUCUUUCGGGGGGGACUUAGUGGCGGACGGGUGAGUAACGCGUGGGUAACCUGCCCUGUACAGGGGGACAACAGCUGGAAACGGCUGCUAAUACCGCAUAAGCCCUUAGCACUGCAUGGUGCAUAGGGAAAAGGAGCAAUCCGGUACAGGAUGGACCCGCGUCUGAUUAGCCAGUUGGCAGGGUAAGGGCCUACCAAAGCGAGGAUCAGUAGCCGAUCUGAGAGGAGGUACGGCCACAUUGGGACUGAGACACGGCCCAGACUCCUACGGGAGGGAGCAGUGGGGAAUAUUGCACAAUGGAGGAAACUCUGAUGCAGCGACGCCGCGGAAGUGAAGAAGUAUUUCGGUAUGUAAAGCUCUAUCAGCAGGAGAGAAAAUGACGGUACCUGACAAAGAAGCACCGGCUAAAUACGUG